CAGGGGUAGGCAACCUAUGGCACGCGUGCCAAAGGUGGCAUGCGAGCUGAUUUUCAGUGGCACUCACACUGCCCAGGUCCUGGCCACCGGUCCGGGGGGCUCUGCAUUUUAGUUUAAUUUUAAAUGAAGCUGCUUAACAUUUUUAAAACCUUAUUUACUUUACAUACAAAAAUAGUUUAGUUAUAUAUUUUAGACGUAUAGAAAGAGACCUUCUAAAAACAUUAAAAUGUGUUACUGGCAUGCAAAACCUUAAAGUAGAGUGAAUAAAUGAAGACUUGGCACACUACUUCUGAAAGGUUGCUGACCUUGGUGUAGUCAAUGGCUCUUGCAUGGGGUCUCAGUUCUUUAUACUAUCCUCUGGCCAGUAUGUGUUAAAUUUCAAAUUAUGUUUUCCCAAUAACUGUUGCAAAAAAGGAGCUUUCUGUUGCUUUGCUGUUUGGAACCUUUUGUGGAGUAUGCUUAUUCCUUGAUUGUCUCUAGUGAUUGUCUUUGCUUAUAGCUUUUUGUGACAGUAUCCUGGAACUAAUAAUUCUUGACUAUUUCUCUGCUGCAUGGAGUUCUGAAUGACUAGUUUUACAACUCCUAAUCUUAAUUUCAAGAUGGUGGUAUUGGGGAAUACCAUUUGAUGCAGCUGAGCCAUUGGAGCUGCUUGCUGACUCAGAAGGAUAACACAGCAUUGGUUUGUGUUCAGAUAAUUUAGAAGAUUAAGGAGAGGGACUAGAAAGCUAGCCCAUCUAAAGGCUCUUAAAUUCUGCAGAAAUCAAUAACUUUAGGCUCUCAGAAUUUGUCAGACAAAGCUUUCCACUUUUCACUUGGCACAGAACUAGUUCAAUCAUUGCAGGUAAUUUGUAAAAGCAUCAAAGGAUAUGUCUACAUAGUAGAGAAAAACUUAUGGCUGGCCCAUGCCAGCUGAUUCAAGAUCCUCAGGUUCCGGGGCUGCUUCAUUGCUGUGUAGGCUUCUGGGCUCGGGUUGGAGCCUGGGCUCUAGGACCCUGUGAAGUGGGAGGGUCCCAGAACCAUCUAUAUAGCAGUGAAACAUCCAUGCAGCCUGAGCCCAAGUCCGCUGGCAUGGACCAGCCGUGGAUGUGAACCUGCUGUGAAGACACUCUUAGGAACUCCCCAUUCUCCCCCUUCUUCCCCGCACAUGUCCCAGAAUAGUAGUACCUUGGUGCCAAAUACAACUUUUUCUUCUCUAGUUUUCCCAGCUCUUCAGCUAUGGAGGAGAAAUAGUUUUACCUUUCUUGAUUGGAGGCGGGGGGAGGAUUGAAUGUGAGGCAAUGAGAAGUGACCAAGCUCGUCUUUGUUUCUCCCCUUUUCAUCAUCCAGCCCUCCACCCAUGAUCUAGCUUUACUACUGUUGCUCAGAACUUUCCUAAUAGGCCUAUACUACUGCUACUUGUAGCUUUUUCUUUUGCAGAAAAUGAGUAAUUUGGUCUACUUGUUUCAUUAUUUCUCCCCCCACCCCAAGACCAUGCCUACUGUAAAGAUGCAGAUAAAAUUUUGUUCUCAGCACUCUGAACAGCAAAAGUGAAACUUCCAACAACUUCUACCCAUGCAUCUUAGGCCUGGUCUACACUACACGUUUAAACCGAAUUUAGCAGUGUUAAACCGAUUUAGCCCUGCACCCGUCCACACAACGAGGCCCUUUAUAUCGAUAUAAAGGGCUCUUUAAACCAGUUUCUGUACUCCUCCCCGAUGAGAGGAGUAGCGCUGAAAUUGGUAUUGCCAUGUCAGAUUAGGGUUAGUGUGGCUGCAAAUUGACGGUAUUGGCCUCCGGCGGUAUCCCACAGUGCACCAUUAUGACCGCUCCGGAAAGCCAUCUGAACUCGGAUGCACUGGCCAGGUAGACAGGAAAAGCCCCGUGAACUUUUGAAUUUCAUUUCUUGUUUGGCCAGCGUGGAGAGCUCACCAGCACAGGUGACCACGCAGAGCUCAUCAGCACAGGUAACAAUGCAGUCUCCUGAGAAUCGAAAGAACUCCAGCAUGGACCGCACGGGAGGUACUGGAUCUGAUUGCUGUAUGUGGAGAGGAUUCUGUGCUAACAGAACUCUGUUCCAAAAGAUGAAAUGAAAAAACAUUUGAAAAAUUUUCCAAGGCCAUGAUGCAGAGAGGCCACACCAGGGACUCAGUACAGUGCCGUGUGAAAGUUAAGGAGCUCAGACAAGCCUACCAGAAAAUCAAAGAAGCAAACAGAAGGUCCAGGGCAGGGCCGAAAACAUGCCGCUUCUACGCUGAGCUGCAUGCAAUUCUAGGGGGUCCGCCACCACUACCCCACCCCUGUCCGUGGAUUCCGAGGUGGGGGUGGUAAUCUCAGCCAUGGCUGAGGAUUCUGCGGAUGGGGAAGAUGAGGAGGAGGAGGAGGAAGAGGAGGAUGAGCUUGCAGAGAGCACACAGCACUCCGUUCUCCCCAAUAGCCGGGAGCUUUUUCUCACCCAGACGGAAUUACCCUCCCAGCCUCCCAAGCCACUAUCCCACACAAUGAAGCCAUGGAAGGGAUCUCUGCUGCAAAUUUUUCAAGCCUCCUUACUCCGUCCCGAAGGCUAUCUCAGAUAAGGCGGUGGGGGAAAAAAAAAGACAUGACAUGAAAUGUUCUCGGAAAUGAUGGAAGUGACCUGCAAUGAAAGAGCUCAUCUGUAUGAGCGGAAGGACGUGGUAUCAAAUUACAGGAAAGAUACCAGUGAACGUGAGGACGGGAGGGAUGCUCGAGAUGAGGUGGCAGCAGGAAGAUCAGAGGUGUAGGCAGGAAGAUCAGCGGUGGCGGGAUGCAACUCUGGGGCUGCUGCGUGAUCAAACUGACAUCCUCCGGCUUCUGGUGGAGCUUCAAGAACAGCAGCAGGAUCACAGAGUGCCAUUGCAGCCCCUGUAUAACCCCAUAUCCUCCUCACUCAGAUGUGUAGGAACGCAUGGGGAGAGGCUCCGUGCACCUGCCCACUCCACCCUCAUGGACAGCCCAACCAAAAGGCUGUCAUUACUUUGAAAUUUUUUUAGUGGCCUUUUCCUGCCCUCCUAUCCUCCUCCCAAACCACACCCGGGCUACCUUGUCAGUUCUCUCCCUCUUUUUAUAAUGAAUUAAUAAAGAAUACAUGAUUUUUAAAUGA